GGCCCUUGAGGGCAGAGACAAGAAAAAGAUAAUCUUAUCCUUCCCAAAAUGCCAGGUUCCCAAAUUUCAGUCGUAUUCAUGAAAAUGGAAAAUCGAGUUCGAUGAGGAAUGAAGAUGAUGAUUUUUUGCUAAGAUUCAAGCUUGGGUUUGACACUGUUACAUUUACAUUAUUUUGUACAUCAAAUAUGAUUCAAAUCAAGGGACAUGAUUUUAGGGCUCUUCUACAAAGACAGAGUAUGAUGACAGACCCUUUUGAUAGGGGCUGAGGCGGCUGGUACCUCAGCCCCUAUCUAGAAUUUUUCAUGAUUUUAAUACAUCAAGAAAUGUCAAAGUUGAUGUACAAAAGGAGUUUACAAUUAGUUUAUUUUUUCUUAGUAAGUUGCAAGACAAAUCACCAUACUACUUGUCAUAUGUAAAAUUUCAUUUCCUGAGAUGGACUCUGGAAAUUGUCGUUGGCCGACGGUAGUAGGGUGGGGAAAGAUGAAAUCUUUUUUAUUUCUUUAUUUCUCCUUCCAAGUUUGCCCAUAUAAUAAAAUGAAGGAGAAAUCCAACUAAUGGAAUUUAUCUAAAAGGACUGUUUGGGCGUCUAAAGACAUAGAUUCGGGCUCUCUUUGCCAAAAAUUAAACAUUAGGGACAUGAACAUAUGAAGUGAAAAAGUUAGGAACCAUUUGCGCAAAAUCCCUAUUUUUUCCAACUAGAAAAAGGAAUAAAAAAAUCAACAUCCAUCACAUGUCAUGAUUUGAUCUUCCCAUCAGGAAUGGGACUUCGAAUCACUGUAAUUCUCUGUAUUGAUAUCCUUUGUCUUCUAUUGUUUAAAUAUAUUUCUGUGGACAAAAUACAACUAACAAUUAAUUAAUUAGACAUCUCAACUUUUGAGAGAUAAUGAUUAAGCAGUUGUAUAGUUCAAUUUUUAUUUUUUCUAUUUAUUAUUAUUAUUAUUUUGUCAACUCCCGAUGAUAGAAUGAUGCGCCCCCUGUAAAAUUUCUGUAUAGCUUUUUCCUGUGCACCAAGCACAACUCUAAUAAUUAUGGAACGGUCUAAAUUCUCUUUAAUCUAGUUGGUUUGAGUACUUGUUCAAGAGAGUCGAUUAGAUUAAGAAAUUACUUAUAAUUAGCUUAUAUAAGUAAUUAUUAAAUGGCAAGAAUGCAUGGAGAUGGUGGUGAUGAUAAUAUAUGGAAUCGCGCAACCACACAUUGGUUUGUCAGAAAUUGCAUAGCCAAUUUGGAGUAGAUUACAUUUGCAUUUGUGUUGUACCACAGAACUGGGAAACAUCCAUGUGCGGGUGGGAGCGCCGCGCCAACACUGCGUGCAGUUGUACGGACUCAUAUAACAUGUGAAUUGUAAUUAUUUGUAAUGUUUAAAAUAAUGUUGGGGAAAAAAAAUCAUCUUAUCAAUAUGACAGUCAAGAAUGUCUCAUAAGCACCCGUUUAACAUGAUUUUUGAAAAAUAUAUUUCUAAGAUUAAGAAACUACUUUUGUACAUGUUUAAAAAACAUUCUGAGAGUAUUGUAUCAAGUUAGAGGAAAUUAGGCUAACUACCUCUCAAAAAUAACUAUUUUGAAUAAUACCCUAUAAAUUAAUUUAAUAACUUAAUCACGUCUUUUAUACUUUCUAAACUAUCAAAACCACAAAACUCGAUUCAAAUUCCUGAUACCCAAAAAUCUGGUAGCAUCCAUGGCAACUUCCUUCUUUGCCCAUUGAGAAAACUAAGCUCAAUCUUCGAUUCCAAUUACCCUUCGGAACCCAUUCCAACUAGGCCCUUGAGGGCAGAGUCAAGAAAAAGAUAAUCUUAUCCUUCCCAAAAUGCCAGGUUCCCAAAUUUCAGUCGUAUUCAUGAAAAUGGAAAAUCGAGUUCGAUGAGGAAUGAAGAUGAUGAUUUUUUGCUAAGAUUCAAGCUUGGGUUUGACGAGAAGAUAGGAAAAUAAAAUGCGUUCUGACGAGGAUAAUGUUAGUAGUAUCGGCCAGAAACCUGAAAAUGUUGAGC
rnacentral:lncRNA from 1 species